AUGGAGCUCUAUGGCUCAGAGUAGUAAGAUAUAUCAGACACAGACAAUACUUUGUUUAUUGUGAUGCUUUU